rnacentral:rRNA from 1 species
UAGGGAAUAUUGGACAAUGGGGGCAACCCUGAUCCAGCCAUGCCGCGUGAGUGAAGAAGGCCCUCGGGUUGUAAAGCUCUUUUGUCCGGAAAGAAAAGCAUUCGGUGAAUACCCGGAUGUUCUGACGGUAGCGCAGGAAAAAGUCUCGGCUAACUACGUGCCAGCAGCCGCGGUAAAACGUAGGAGGCGAGCGUUAUCCGGAUUUACUGGGCGUAAAGCGCGUGCAGGCGGAUUGGAGAGUUGGAUGUGAAAGCUCCCGGCUUAACUGGGAGAGGUCGUUCAAUACUUCCAGUCUUGAGUGCAGUAGAGGGAAGUGGAAUUCCGGGUGUAGUGGUGAAAUGCGUAGAUAUCCGGAGGAACACCAGUGGCGAAAGCGGCUUCCUGGACUGUAACUGACGCUCAGACGCGAAAGCUAGGGUAGCAAACG